CUGUUGAUGAAGGAAAAUGAUAGGCUGCAGAAGCAAGUUUCACAGUUGGUGUAUGAGAAUAGCUUUUUCCGCCAACAGACUCAAACUCCCUUACCACCACAGACAACAAUAGUUGUGAAUCUGUGGUGACGAGUGGUCAGCAAAACUUGUCCGCUCAUCGUCCACCAAGGGAUGCAAGCCCUGCGGGAUUUUUGUCCUUAGCAGAAGAAACUUUAACAGAGUUUCUAUCGAACGCCACUGGAACCGUUAUG